CCCUUAGAUGUUCUGGGCCGCACGCGCGCUACAAUGGCAGACUCAGCGAGUUACCUCUGCCGAAAGGCACAGGGAAUCUUUACAGUAUCUGCCGUGAUGGGGAUAGACCCUUGUAAUUUUUGGUCUUCAACGAGGAAUUCCUAGUAAACGCAAGUCAUUAACUUGCAUUGAUUACGUCCCUGCCCUUUGUACACACCGCCCGUCGCACCUACCGAUUGAAUGGUCCGGUGAAGUCCUCGGACCCAGUUGAACCUCGAGUUGAACAGGGAAAGUUGACUAAAUCUUACCAUUUAGAGGAAGGUGAAGUCGUAACA
rnacentral:rRNA from 1 species